UGGUCAGGACGCCCCAGUCCUGCUUCGACGAAGCCGACAGAUGUGGAAAGCCUCUGGUUUGCGGAUUUUACAACUAACGUGCAAUCUCUAAAUGAGAUUCUCAUUUCCAGAAGAGGGAAACAGCCACUGACCGGAGUCUGGGUGGUCCCGGGUUGCUGGCACCCUGUUGGGUUGGCAUCUGAUGGCGAGUAGGGCAGCGUGGCCUUUGCCGCAUGGAGCUUCCCAUCUGCAGAGGAAGGCAACUGAGAAUCGAGUCAGUGGACAGCUCACUGCAGAAGCGCCUGGUGUUGGAAGUACUCAGUGGAGCAUUGAACGCUUCCUUCCCGGCUCCUGCCCAGGGUGUGAUGGCUGUCCUGAGCAUCGGGGUUUACUUCCUUUCCAAAGGGCUUUGCGGGACGUGGCCCAGGAGGGACUCUGGUGUCAAAUUUGGCCUCAGGAGCUCAGCUGGCCGGGGUGAUGCCUGCACCCCUGCCCACGCUUCUCAGGGAGAAUGGGCUUGCCUGCCUCGUUUCCUGCCUCCUCUCCUAGACGCUUUGUUCGGCUUUCAAGUUCUUGCACAAGCAGGUUUGUGUCGGCCACGCCCCGGGGAGGAGCCACCGGAUCACCACCGUCAGCAGCCUGUUCCCGGCGGCCUCUCUGGCUUCCCUAAAGAGGGCAGGUGGAAUUUUCUGCAAUGCUGCUGUGCACGACGUGGAUGCUAUAUGCAUGUUGCUGGGGGAAGCCACUCUGGACGCUGUGUUUUCUCUGGGACAUGCCUUCUGCCCAGGUGAGAGGGCGCUUCACUGUUUCAGGGUGCUCCCAUGGCCACCAAGGAUGGUUGGAAUUGCAGCACAGGCUGGAGACCCUGUUCAAGAUUCCUGCCCCGCCCUCAGCUUUGGGCGACAGAUAAGUAACAUGGAACAUGUGUUAAAAAAAAAACAAUGACUAAAUAGUCAUGUCACUGAAUCCCUCAGAGAGUGCCCAAGGCUGAAAGGCGUCAUGCAGGAAGUGUUUCCUGUUCAGUGAAUUUGAGAGUCACUGUUUAGUGACCAUUUCUUCAGCCCCUGCUAUGUGACAGGCCGCCCGUAGUUUCUGAGGUUGCAAAGGUGAACAAAACGAUGUCUGUGGCUGGAAUUCGCAGGUUGGAAUGUGCACAGAUUAGGGGAUCAUCAGUGAGCACUGGGCGAAUACGGGGCUGGGGAUGCUGGUUCCCAGGUCCUGGCCCUGCAGCAGAAGCUCAGGGUGGGUCCUGAGGGCUGCUGAAGAUGACAGAUUGUCUGUUGCUUUAUGACACACCGUGCACGUAUCACGGCUUGAAACGGCAGCCACCAGGUAGCUAGGAUUCCACAGCCUGGACUGGGCUUGGCUGAAGCCCCUCUUGUGGUCUGCCCAGUGUCACUCAUGUGGCUGCAGCCAGCUAGUCAGCGUCCUGUCUGGAACAGCUCCGCCAGGGUCACAGGGCCAGGCCCGCUGUCACCUGUGUCGCCUCCAGGCCUCUCCCCGCCCAUGUCUCCCCACGCCUCCUCAGGUCCCCACAGCAGCGUGGCCACACAUUUGAUGGCCUCAGGGCACCAAAGUGGAAGCGCUCAGAUGUCCUGAGGCUUGGGCCCGACGGAGGUGUGCCUGUUACACCACACCUCACGCACUGGCUCCUCUCAGUGCCUGCUUCACUCUGUCUCAUCAGCAUCCCCCUUGAUACCGCCUCCCCCACCUGCCCAAAGUUCACCCACGCCCCCCGUCCUGCUGGCCACCACCUUGUUCCUGGCCAUGUCCUCAUUUUGGCUGUGGUCAUCUGCCUGCAUUCUCUUCCCUGUGAGACCUCAGUCGGACCAGGUGCCAGCCUGCUCUGAGCUCUCCAGAGCGCAGGUGGAGGCCAUGGUCUACACUGACCCUCGGGCCUGUCACCGGGAGCGGGUCAUGGCUUCAAAUGGUCCGGUUCUUGGCGUUUUGAACAAAUAACUGGACAAAACGCCCAGCAAGGCAAGGAAAGAAUGAAGCAAUAGAAGAAGAAAGCAGGGGUUUAUUGACAGUGGAAUCCACUCCACAGUGCGGGAGUGGCCGAGGGCAGCAGCUCAAGCGCCGGGACACAGGACCUUCUUGGGUACAGACACCCCUGCAGGUCCCCCAUCGGCCACUUCACAGUGCUGCAGGAAAGCGGUCAGAGGCAGGGUGAGUGACCAAGUUAUACUUCUAUGCACACGGAGACUCCUCCGGGAUCAGUCUGAUGGGUGCGGACGGUGGCCGUUCAGAGGCUGGAGGGAAGUUACCAAGCUGCAAACCCGCAGUCGUCAGAUUUGUUGCAGACAGCCAGUUCCCAUCUGCCACAGGAGAGGUGAGCCGUUCGCAAAGGGAGUAGCCUCUGGUCCUUUUGUUACUUAGGAGUGGAAAGUUAGGGUUUCCCUUCAAUUCAGUUCUAGAAAGUCGGUGUGAAGCAGCCUGUUUCCCUGCCUCCAGACCCUGAUCUCCUGCCUCAGGCCCACAGGUGCCGCCCCACCCCGAACCCCACUGGCCCCUUGUCUCCUUGCUCUUCCUCAGAAGGCCAAAGUUCCUGUCUGGGCCUGCUCCCUGGGCGGGGACAUGGGGACGGGCUCUGCUCAGCUCAUGGCUGCACCCCCAGGGUCCAGAAGGUGCUUGGGCCCCAAGCACCGAUGCCACAGAAGCUUGGCAAACGUGGAAGUGGACUCCUCACUGGGCAGUGCCCCUGCCUCUCAGGCACCUAUUCUGGAACAGCUUAUUUUUCUAUUAAGGACCAGUUUCUGUAUAAUUACUUGGCUCUGCCUUUCAUCCAUUGCUUCAGGUAAGGCAGUGAGUUCAGGCCGGGCAUGGUGGUAAUCCUAACACUGUAGUCCUCGCACUAUGGGAAGCUGAGGUGAGCGGAU